AUGAUUAACUCUCACAGCUUGUUCAGUUGUUCCAACAAUCCGACCAUGCAGAGAAAGCACGAGGACAUGAGUGAUGAAGGCAAGAACCGCAGGCAGCAGCGGUGGACUGGCUACAGACGAUGGAUUGGUUGGCAGUGGUUAACAAUGUUAUAUUGGCUGCCAGAGGAGCAGAUGGACGGGGUGAGGUAUGGCGGUGGAGCGGAGACAGCAGGUGGUGGUCUAGCAUGCGGCGCAUCCAAUGCGGGGGUUGGAAUCAGGAAGAGAGCUCGCACACCUGUGAAGAAACAAGCACAUAAAGUUUUUGGGCUCGCUUCCAGUCCACGUCAAACUCAAGCUUUGACCAAGCUGAGUCCAAUCCCAGUUUCGUGA
rnacentral:rRNA from 1 species